UGGGGAAUCUUGCACAAUGGGCGAAAGCCUGAUGCAGCAACGCCGCGUGCGGGAAGACAGCCCUAGGGUUGUAAACCGCUUUCAGCAGGGAAGAAACUGACGGUACCUGCAGAAGAAGAUGCGGCCAACUACGUGCCAGCAGCCGCGGUGACACGUAGGCAUCAAGCGUUAUCCGGAUUUAUUGGGCGUAAAGAGCUCGUAGGCGGUUCGGUAAGUCGGGUGUGAAAACUCUGGGCUCAACCCAGAGAGGCCACUCGAUACUGCUGUGACUAGAGUGCGGUAGGGGAGCGGGGAAUUCCUGGUGUAGCGGUGAAAUGCGCAGAUAUCAGGAGGAACACCAGUGGCGAAGGCGCCGCUCUGGGCCGUAACUGACGCUGAGGAGCGAAAGCAUGGGUAGCAAACAGGAUUAGAUACCCUGGUAGUCCAUGCCGUAAACGUU
rnacentral:rRNA from 1 species